rnacentral:other from 1 species
GCGGGGCUGCCCGGUGCGUCAGGCUACGAAACCCCCGGGCCGUAAGCACAUCCCAGGGAGCUGGCUCUGUCGUGACUUUGGUCAUGUUAUCCGGCACCCACCUGACUAGUCAGGUCUGGGAGGUUCACACGCCAACGGCCAGGGCGGCCCCGCU